CGAACGCUGGCGGCGUGCCUAAUACAUGCAAGUCGAGCGAGCGGAACUAACAGAUUUACUUCGGUAAUGACGUUAGGAAAGCGAGCGGCGGAUGGGUGAGUAACACGUGGGGAACCUGCCCCAUAGUCUGGGAUACCACUUGGAAACAGGUGCUAAUACCGGAUAAGAAAGCAGAUCGCAUGAUCAGCUUUUAAAAGGCGGCGUAAGCUGUCGCUAUGGGAUGGCCCCGCGGUGCAUUAGCUAGUUGGUAAGGUAAAGGCUUACCAAGGCGAUGAUGCAUAGCCGAGUUGAGAGACUGAUCGGCCACAUUGGGACUGAGACACGGCCCAAACUCCUACGGGAGGCAGCAGUAGGGAAUCUUCCACAAUGGACGCAAGUCUGAUGGAGCAACGCCGCGUGAGUGAAGAAGGUUUUCGGAUCGUAAAGCUCUGUUGUUGGUGAAGAAGGAUAGAGGUAGUAACUGGCCUUUAUUUGACGGUAAUCAACCAGAAAGUCACGGCUAACUACGUGCCAGCAGCCGCGGUAAUACGUAGGUGGCAAGCGUUGUCCGGAUUUAUUGGGCGUAAAGCGAGCGCAGGCGGAAGAAUAAGUCUGAUGUGAAAGCCCUCGGCUUAACCGAGGAACUGCAUCGGAAGCUGUUUUUCUUGAGUGCAGAAGAGGAGAGUGGAACUCCAUGUGUAGCGGUGGAAUGCGUAGAUAUAUGGAAGAACACCAGUGGCGAAGGCGGCUCUCUGGUCUGCAACUGACGCUGAGGCUCGAAAGCAUGGGUAGCGAACAGGAUUAGAUACCCUGGUAGUCCAUGCCGUAAACGAUGAGUGCUAAGUGUUGGGAGGUUUCCGCCUCUCAGUGCUGCAGCUAACGCAUUAAGCACUCCGCCUGGGGAGUACGACCGCAAGGUUGAAACUCAAAGGAAUUGACGGGGGCCCGCACAAGCGGUGGAGCAUGUGGUUUAAUUCGAAGCAACGCGAAGAACCUUACCAGGUCUUGACAUCUAGUGUCAUUUGUAGAGAUACAAAGUUCCCUUCGGGGACGCUAAGACAGGUGGUGCAUGGCUGUCGUCAGCUCGUGUCGUGAGAUGUUGGGUUAAGUCCCGCAACGAGCGCAACCCUUGUUAUUAGUUGCCAGCAUUAAGUUGGGCACUCUAAUGAGACUGCCGGUGACAAACCGGAGGAAGGUGGGGAUGACGUCAAGUCAUCAUGCCCCUUAUGACCUGGGCUACACACGUGCUACAAUGGGCAGUACAACGAGAAGCGAGCCUGCGAAGGCAAGCGAAUCUCUGAAAGCUGUUCUCAGUUCGGACUGCAGUCUGCAACUCGACUGCACGAAGCUGGAAUCGCUAGUAAUCGCGGAUCAGCACGCCGCGGUGAAUACGUUCCCGGGCCUUGUACACACCGCCCGUCACACCAUGGGAGUCUGCAAUGCCCAAAGCCGGUGGCCUAACCUUCGGGAAGGAGCCGUCUAAGGCAGGGCAGAUGACUGGGGUGA
rnacentral:rRNA from 1 species